AAGAUUUAAGUUAAAAAAACUAUUAACCUUCAAAGUUAAAAUUAGAAAUAUCUAAUCUUUAA
rnacentral:tRNA from 1 species